AACGAACGCUGGCGGCAGGCUUAACACAUGCAAGUCGAGCGCCCCGCAAGGGGAGCGGCAGACGGGUGAGUAACGCGUGGGAACAUACCCUUUCCUGCGGAAUAGCUCCGGGAAACUGGAAUUAAUACCGCAUACACCCUACGGGGGAAAGAUUUAUCGGGGAAGGAUUGGCCCGCGUUGGAUCAGCUAGCUGGUGGGGUAAAGGCCUACCAAGGCGACGAUCCAUAGCUGGUCUGAGAGGAUGAUCAGCCACAUUGGGACUGAGACACGGCCCAAACUCCUACGGGAGGCAGCAGUGGGGAAUAUUGGACAAUGGGCGCAAGCCUGAUCCAGCCAUGCCGCGUGAGUGAUGAAGGCCUUAGGGUCGUAAAGCUCUUUCACCGGAGAAGAUAAUGACGGUAUCCGGAGAAGAAGCCCCGGCUAACUUCGUGCCAGCCGCCGCCGUAAAAC
rnacentral:rRNA from 1 species